UGUCAGUGUCACUACAUGUAGUCCGGAUACAAGUAGAUCUACUCAUAGUCACAGUAUUUUAUUCGACGACUACCGUUUAGGUGCAGCAAACAUGUUACGUGCCGGCGAUGGCCCAGUACAAAUACCCUCUUUCUGGUACCAGUCGAUAGCGAAGCCAAUAAUGACUCCAGAGUGCGUGGCGAGAUCGGACUACAAUACGCGGCUUCCAUGAUAUCCAAUCACAGCAGAUGCGACGGGUCGGUGCGAUUAGCUUCUUUGUCAUAAGCUGGAAAGCUGAACACAACAUGGCGCACGGCUGAGGAUGGCUGUCAACAAGCCAACGACAAGCAGAGUGACAAAAAACUCCAAAGACACCUUGACUGAUGAUCAACACUAGAGGCAAGAAGAGCAUCAACUUCAAGACAGCAGCAGUAUCAACAGCUCCAGUGGCAGCACUGACUCUGAGCAGCAUUUGCAGAGCAAUGGCUUUAGAAAGAGCAGCCAAACAGGUAGCAGUAGUAAUGAUGCUGACAGCAGCAGCACCAGUACAUGCACUGGGCCACCAAGAAGUGGCAAGCCUGGGGAGCUGUGACGGAAUGGAAAGUAGAACGCGGCACUGCAGCUACAGAGUAACAGAGUAACAACACUCACACUCUGAGUCAGUGAUGCACACUAACGGCCGCUACCCCACAUUUUAACGGAGAUUACAUCACUCGCAGCAGCAGCAACAGCACCACCGCCACAAACGGCAGCAGCUGCAAUCUUCUAUUAGCAGAGCAGCAGUGUCUAGCAGCAGCGCUUGAACUGCUUUCUCCCACGGCCCAGCAGAAGGACCAAUGAUAAGAUGCAGGAUAGCCAUGUGAAAGGCUACUGAUGUGCAAGUUGUACGCGGCAAGUACUCACCUGAGUCCGUGCAUAGCAACUCUGGGCUAGUCUGCCGGGCCAAGCAGCAUAGAUGCACCGAUAGCCAGUGGAAGCAGCUACACUGAGUAGGCUAGCUUAGAGUUAACUGCAUGGCCAGUGUUCAAUACGUCUUGAAUGUGCAGCUGUAUCAGCUUUGAACUCCACUAUUACAGAUGUGCGUGGACAUUUUGAAAUCCGACUUGAAACACAGUAACCAUGGUAACAUCAUACACAGUAUUGCAACAGCAUGUAGUCUAGCCUGUGUAUGUCUAGCUUGGCAUUGGCUCCUGUGUGCUAGUGUCCAAUGCAUUGGCUCCUGUGUGCUAGUGUCCAAUGCAUUGGCUCCUGUGUGCUAGUGUCCAAUGCAUUGGCUCCUGUGUGCUAGUGCCCAAUGCUCUUCACAGCACAACCUUUUUUCUUGUAGUGUGCACGUGCGAACAAUACAAUGCUCAGCGGACUACAUUUUAAGACGUUUUCUCAUAUUCACCAAAACCCUCUGCUAUUAUAGUGGUUCGGCAUGUUUUGAGUACUUUUGCCGCGACCCGUGUCAGAGUUUUGUUUGGUAUCACCAUGGCGAAUGAGCAACACAACGUUAUACAUUACCUGGGUCUCUCUCUCUC